GCUGAAAUAGCUCAGUUGGUAGAGCAGCUGAUUCGUAAUCAGCAGGUCGAGGGUUCGAGUCCCUUUUUCAGCU
rnacentral:tRNA from 1 species